UUGACAUCCACCACCACCGCUCGUUGCUUGCUGGAGAAGGAGGAGGAGGUUGAAAAAUUCAUCAUCUGUCGACUUCUUAUCAUCGAUCCUUGUAGUAAUCGAUCGUUGAUCUGUGUAACAAUUUCAGUUUUUUUAAUUGAGUUUAUAUUGUUAAUAAGGGCACUAGUUUGUCUAGCUCUUAUUGCUGAUUAAGUGAUCAAUUGAGAACUGCUCUUGGAUGCAUUUUUGUGCGUGGUUUAUCAACUUCUGUCAAUGGCAUGGAUGUGGUCUCUCUGAGGCGAAACUGAGGCCGGUUUGUAUAUAGCUGUUAUCUUUGAACCUUUGGCUUUAAACCAGUGGAUAGGGAUUGAUCCUGUAGGUAAACAUGGAAACAAAAUUCGAAAAGGUAUUGGAUAGAAGCCGGAACAUUGUUGUUGACUUGAAGAGAAAGCGGGAAGCUCGAUGCGAGACCCAUCUCUCUGGGGCUACACACGUGAUAUUGCCAGUGCGACCCUUGCUGAACUCAUCAAUCCGCCCGCUUGGAAAGCGGACGAAGCUGAAUGGAUCAAGAAGCAGGUGCGGUGGCUACAAAUUUCACCAAAAAGAAUCUCUACUUAGAUACUAUCUUAAUUUUAGGAGAAGUGGGCUUCCACAACGUCUGAUGUACUAUCAGAACAGUCAAUGGACUGAUUUCCCUGAGAACAUUGUGUCAAUGGCUAAGCAAGAUCUCCGGACAAAGAGAUCUGCGAGGGAGGUGGUAUUCAAUGGUAAUAACUAUGUGCUAGAUUUCUUCCAUAUGAUGCUGUUGGACCUGAAGUCAGGUAUGCAGCAGCCUAUUGCAUGGAUUGAUGAAGCAGGCAAGUGCUUUUUCCCAGAAGUCUUUGCUUAUUGUGAUGAACUGCAUGAGCCAUGUCACUGUGAAGACAAUGACUGCGUAGACGUGGAUUCUGAGACGGAGGGAUCCAAUGAUCUGGAGUUGCGACUGGAGAUUGAAGUUAAUGGGGCGGAUAUAUCAAGUUCGGAGGAAUCUAGUGGAGAGUCCAAUGCUAAUUUUGAGCAAGUGAACUUUUGUCAUGAACCUGCAGCGAAAAAUCGCAUUGCAGAAGUUGGUGAUGAUCAUGUCAGGAUAUCAGAUACAAAAGCCAAGGACGAUUCUGUGGAAAAUUAUCAAAUGGUGGAAAAUGCUGUCGGCAGGUACGACUCUAAGUGGAAACAUAUGGACCCCAAAGCUGUGAGUGAGAUGUUCCUCAAGGGUAUCAGUUCAUCUGCAAGUGCAAACAUAAUUGACUUGCAACGUAUCUCAAGUUCUUUCAUGGAAGUUCGAAAGGAACUCUUUCAAAAGCAGGUGGAAAUUUUGAGGAAGCAUCGUGGGGAUGCCACUGUUAGUUAUGCUUGGCUUCCUUCUUCUAAAGGAAUGAUUACGAGUAUUAUGAAGUAUGGGCUUGCUAAUUAUUAUCCAUCCAGAACCAACUCCAGUUACGGCAUUGGUGUUCAUCUUUUCCCUGCUAAUUGCAGUGAGAUCAGUGCAAAAUGUUCUGAUGUUGACGAAAAUGGUGUACAAUACAUGGUUUUAUGCCGUGUAAUAAUGGGAAACAUGGAAGUGGUUUGUCCUGGAUCAAAGCAGUUCCAUCCCAGUAGUGAGGAUUUCGAUAAUGGUGUCGAUAGCGUUGAAAAUCCGAAGUGUUAUGUAGUCUGGACUAUGAAUAUGAGUACACACAUAUUUCCAGAAUACGUCGUCAGUUUCAAGUUCUCUUCUGAUUCUGAAGGAUAUCUCGUCGGAAACAGGAGCCCAAAUGUCUCUGCUGUCACUAGUUGUCAGGGCCCUGCGGAUAAGGUACCGGCGGAUACACUUCCUGCUGUCUUGGGAAGUGACUGCUAUCAGAAUUCACUAGGCUUGGCCUCAAAAAAGGCUUCAAGGACUCCGAAGUCCCCUUGGAUGCCGUUCCCCAUGUUGUUUGCAGCAAUUUCGAGGAAAGUGCGUCAAGAGGAUAUGAACCUUGUUUGUAGCAAUUAUGAGUUAUUCAAGGGCAAGAAAAUAAACAGGGAUGAAUUUGUCAGGAAGUUGAGGUUGAUCGUAGGGGACACUUUGUUAAGGUCCACUAUAACUAGUCUUCAGUGCCAGGUACCACCUAAAUCAAUGGAAAUGGUCUCUGUAAAGCAAGAACAGGAGAGCAUCUGUCUGGAGUGACGGCGUCUGUUUUAUUUGUUGCUUUUAUGAAUAACUGUUUUUGCUUAGCUAUAGGAACUAAAUAGUUGGACGUAUCUAUUACUUUUUACUUGAAUAUGUGGUAGCUUGAUACUCUGGAGAAAUAUGAUGAGGGCUUAGUUUUCACCCGUCCAGGACUUCUGGGGAUUUGUUUGCCGAAGUAAGUGCCUACGGAGUUGGAGCUUUCAGGUAUAUCUAGCGAGUAGCUCCGAUUAUUAAGUUUCGUUACAUGUAUUUCAUCCCGAAUUUGUUUGUUGGUACUCUAUAAACUGUUAAACAAUGUAUGGGCAAUCUUGUGUACACAUUGU
rnacentral:misc_RNA from 1 species